rnacentral:misc_RNA from 1 species
GUUAUAGUCCCCCGGCCCUUCCGGGUUGGGGUCUUCUAUACCACCCUUUGUUUAUUACACCUUUGUUGCUUUGGCAGGCCUGCCUUUGGGCUGCUGGCUCCGGCCGGCGAGCGUCUGCCAGAGGACCUAAACUCUGUUUGUCUAUACUGUCUGAGUACUAUAUAAUAGUUAAAACUUUCAACAACGGAUCUCUUGGUUCU